rnacentral:lncRNA from 1 species
GGGUACUUAUAAAGUGAGAAACGGAAUCGAAACGAAACGAAACGAAAUAUAACGAAACGAAACGAAAUACAACGAAACGCAACGAAAUACAACGAAACGAAACGAAAUGAAAAAAUGAAGAAACGAAACGAAAUGGAAAAUGAAGAAACGAAAUAAACGAAAUAAACGAAAUAGGCCUAUAUAAAAUAUAUCUUUUACAUUGUUAUAGGAGGUUAGGAUUUUGAUUUUAAACAGAAAAUGUUGUAUGAGUGCGAAUGAGACAACUCUUAUCCAAGCCACAGUGUAGUUUAACUUAGCAAUUAUAGGUCAGAGUACGGCCUUUCAAUACGAACUCAUGAACAAUCACCGAACAUGAUAUAAAGGGUCAAAAAUGAUCAAUGUAAAACUAUUUAAACAGGAAACCAACGCUAUAAUUAAGAUGUGGUUUGAGUGCCAAUGAGACAACUCUCCAUCCAAGUCGCAAUAAAAUUGAGAAUGGAAAUGGGGAAUGUGUCAAAGAGACAACAACCCGACCAAAACAAAAAAACCACAACAGCAGCAGGUCACCAACAGGUCUUCAAUGUAGCGAGAAAUUCCCGCACCCGGAGGCGUCCUUCAGUUGGCCCCUAAACAAAUAUAUACUAGUUCAGUGAUAAUGAACGCCAUACUAAUUUCCAAAUUGUACACAAGAAACUAAAAUUAAAAUAAUACAAGACUAACAAAGGCCAGAGGCUCCUGACUUGGGACAGGCGCAAAAAUGCGGCGGGGUUAAACAUGUUUGUGAGAUCUCAACCCCCCC